rnacentral:rRNA from 1 species
GAUGAACGCUAGCGGCAGGCCUAAUACAUGCAAGUCGGACGGGAUUCAGGAGCUUGCUUCUGAUGAGAGUGGCGCACGGGUGCGUAACACGUAUGUAACCUACCUUUAUCAGGGGGAUAGCCUCUCGAAAGAGAGAUUAAGCCCGCAUAAAAUCACAGCACAGCAUUGUGUAAUGAUCAAAUAUUUAUAGGAUACAGAUGGGCAUGCGGAACAUUAGCUAGAUGGCGGGGUAACGGCCCACCAUGGCGACGAUGUUUAGGGGAUCUGAGAGGAUGGCCCCCCACACUGGUACUGAGACACGGACCAGACUCCUACGGGAGGCAGCAGUAAGGAAUAUUGGUCAAUGGGCGGAAGCCUGAACCAGCCAUGCCGCGUGCAGGAAGACGGCCCUACGGGUUGUAAACUGCUUUUAUACGGGAAUAAACCCAGAUACGUGUAUCUGGCUGAAUGUACUGUAAGAAUAAGGAUCGGCUAACUCCGUG